rnacentral:rRNA from 1 species
UACGGAGGGUGCGAGCGUUGUCCGGAAUCACUGGGCGUAAAGGGCGCGUAGGCGGCCUGAUAAGUAGGGGGUGAAAUCCUGUGGCUUAACCGCAGGGCUGCCUUCUAAACUGUCGGGCUAGAGCACAGUAGAGGCAGGUGGAAUUCCCGGUGUAGCGGUGGAAUGCGUAGAGAUCCGGAAGAACACCGGAGGCGAAGGCGGCUUGCUGGGCGUGAUCUGACGCUGAGGCUCGAAAGCAUGGGGAGCAAACAGG